rnacentral:ncRNA from 1 species
UUGAGUUUCUUGCUUCUCCUAAAAGCAAGUGGUGCGGAUGGAGGUAACACUCCCGCCCUGUUUCUUGCUUCAGUAAAGAGCAAGUGGCGUGCAUGAAG